rnacentral:rRNA from 1 species
UACGGGGGGGGGCAAGCGUUGUUCGGAAUUACUGGGCGUAAAGGGCUCGUAGGCGGCCAACUAAGUCAAACGUGAAAUCCCUCGGCUUAACCGGGGAACUGCGCUUGAUACUGGAUGGCUUGAGAUUGGGAGAGGGAUGCGGAAUUCCAGGUGUAGCGGUGAAAUGCGUAGAUAUCUGGAGGAACACCGGUGGCGAAGGCGGCAUCCUGGACCAAUAUUGACGCUGAGGAGCGAAAGCCAGGGGAGCA